AGUGAACGCUGGCGGCGUGCUUAACACAUGCAAGUCGAACGAGAACGGAUUAUAGCUUGCUAUAAUUGUCAGCUAAGUGGCGCACGGGUGAGUAAUGUAUAGGUAAUAUGCCUCUUACUAAGGGAUAACAAAUGGAAACGUUUGCUAAUACCUUAUACUCCUUAUUAACAGAAGUUAAUAAGGGAAAGAUUUAUUGGUAAGAGAUUAGCCUGUAUUGUAUCAGUUAGUUGGUGGGGUAAUGGCUUACCAAGACUAUGACACAUAACUGGUUUGAGAGGAUGAUCAGUCACACUGGAGGUGAGACACGGUCCAGACUCCUACGGGAGGCAGCAGUGGGGAAUAUUGCACAAUGGACGAAAGUCUGAUGCAGCAACGCCGCGUGGAGGAUGACACAUUUCGGUGCGUAAACUCCUUUUAUAUGAGAAGAUAAUGACGGUAUUAUAUGAAUAAGCACCGGCUAACUCCGUGCCAGCCGCCGCAGUAA
rnacentral:rRNA from 1 species